UACGGAGGAUGCGAGCGUUAUCCGGAUUUAUUGGGUUUAAAGGGAGCGUAGACGGCACUGCAAGUCUGGAGUGAAAGCCCGAGGCCCAACCACGGGACUGCUCUGGAAACUGCGGGGCUGGAGUGCAGGAGGGGUAAGCGGAAUUCCUAGUGUAGCGGUGAAAUGCGUAGAUAUUAGGAGGAACACCGGUGGCGAAGGCGGCUUACUGGACUGUAACUGACGUUGAGGCUCGAAGGCGUGGGGAGCAAACAGG
rnacentral:rRNA from 2 species